UUUACCUAAUAGUAUUUUUAAUAGAUGUCGUUCAGUUACUACAGAUCGAAAGCAAAGAAAAAUGAGCUAAUAUUUAUAAAAAUAAUGGAUUUAAAGAUUAAAUGUUACCACAAAUCGUUUAUUAUGACAUUAAUUUUCAAUUUCACCAAAAAUACAGUCAUCAAUUUGACAGGAACAGCAAAAAUGGACGACCUAAUCACACUGUCCGAAUAUGUGUCAACUUGCAAGUGCUAAGCGAAAUGGAACAGAAUUUAAAAACGAGAUAUUUAUUAUAUAUACUUUAAACAUAUAUUGGCAGAUGUUACAGUAUCUUAUUCUUAGUUAAAAUGUAAUAUUUACUAUCGGAAACAGUGAGACUACUGUAUUUCGAACAUUAUAAAAUUAGUUCUGUACCUUCAGUUUAAAGGGCUUGUAUCAGAAAUCUCUUGGGUUUGGAAAAUAGUCUCAGUUUGGUACAUGGGCUCAAAUGCAGUUUUAAAUAGUUACGUUUUGGAGUCUGGAAAACAUUCUCGUAAGAUAUGGGGGCUCAUAUGCAGAUUUAUAGACAGUUACGUUCUGGAGUCUGGUAAACUGUCUCACAAGAAAUGGUGGCCAAUAAAUGCAGAUUAAUAGACAGUUACGUUCUAGAGUCUGGAAAACAGUCUCAUUAAAUAUUGGGGCCUAUAUAUGCAAAGAGCUCAAAUACAGUUUAAGACAGUUACGUUCUGGAGUCUUAAAAACAGUCUCACAAGAUAUGGGGGCCAAUAUGCAGAUUUAUAGACAGUUACGUUCUGGAAUCUGGAAAACAGUCUCACAAGAAAUGGGGGCCAAUAUGCAGAUUUAUAGACAGGACUAAUGGUGUAUAUCCAUAUACAAGCUGAAUAAAACAAGGAAAGGCAAUUCUAAACAGAUAUAUUGGACAGAUGGAGGAGCAUAUAAAUUGUACAAUGUGUUCCUGGAGCCGCUGUUUUUGACGAGACAAUGCAACAAUACUGUGGAUAGAUGUGGCAUAAUCUCCCUAUUCAAGCCAGCUUAGAUUUUUACACAAUCUAGGAAUAUAGUUCUAAAUCUAUCACUUCCUAAUAUCACAAUUAAGAUUGUGAAAAUAACUAUGAUGACAUUCUACAAUUGCAGCUAAAUAUUUAUCCACAAUGUUUAUGGGGAAAAAUUGUUGCUGAAUUUGAUAAUAAGGCUGAUCACUUUAGUUACUUGAUAACUUUAGUCACAUUGUUAAAUUACAACCUUUUGAUUUUAGGUGCUGAAAUUGGCCACUUGACUAUUUUAUGUAUUUGUGUAUUUGAUACUUGUAUCAGUUAUUCUGAAAUUGUCAGUUUGCUUAGUCACACCUUUGUAAAGGACUUUGAUGUAUAAAAUGCCUGCCCUUGAACAUAACAAUAUUUAUAUCUCACCAAAACCUUUGCAAUGUUUAUUGGUAUAAUGUUUCUCUAUAGUAAAUGUCCUACAAUGUAAAUUGACCUUGUAAGAUUUCUUUUUGACCAAAUCUAUUUCCAUAUUGUGAUGAAUUUGAAUUAAACUGAUGUCCAAUCUUUAAAUCUUUAAAUAAAACUAUUGCGAAUUGUUAAUUUAUUGUCCAAUUGUCUUUAUUAUCAUAUAGAAAAUAGUGAGUUAUUCUUAUUUUUUAUCACAGUUGUGGAAUCAAUUGGGGAUUGGCAUGGUUUACUGAGCAUUAGAAGGGACAUUAUGAUGAAAGAUAUUAGAAGUCUAGUGCAUAGUGCUUGAUGUUAAAAUUUCUUUGAUGAUAUAGUUUAUUAUAUGUGAUUAUUUUUUGUGGAUAAUAUUUGUUACCUUUCUUGAAGUAUGAUUACACCUUAAGUAUGAACGGUCAUUGGCUUAUUGAGUGUUGUUGUGUCCUCAGUGACACUUCACAUUUCAUGAGAAAAUAUAAUAUUUCAGAAAUGUAAACAUGAACAAAUAUAAUAUGUCUUGUACUAUAAUAUGAAUGGUUUAUGCUUUAAUAAAAAAAUAGCUAUGUAAAACCACAACUUGCACUGUAUACUAUUUUGAGCACAAACAAUUCAAAUAUAUUUAUGUACCUAUAAACAAUUAUAACCCUUGACAUAGCACCAUUUAUUUAGUGAUAGGAAAAUCAAGGAGUAUUCCACACUGUACAUACAUAGGAAUACUAGAUGUACAUGUACAAACAUAACAUGACAGAAAAAUUAACCCUGUACUGAUUUAAGUGAAACUAUUAUUUUAAACCAAUACAUACACUUGUAUAACAAGCAUACUUUUUGAAUGAUAAACCUUUAACUAUUUACUAAAUAAUGCAUUUAUGGAAAACAUUGAUUACUUAUAACAAGAUUGUAACCAUGUAUUUAUUUGCUGAAAACGUGCAAAUAUUAAAUGAUAGAUGAUUUACAGUAAUCAACUAUCUUCUUAAAAUAUUUACAGUAAUCAACUAUCUUCUUAAAAUAGAAAUACCAUGUUUUUGUACCUUUCUUUAAAAUUCAGCAUGGUAUCCUUCAUUAUAUAAAUAAGUAUUGAAUAGAAUUGCUCUUUCUGACUUUGUAAUUUGAACUAAAAUUGAACUGAAUUUUUAAAUAAAGAACAAUAAUAACC